rnacentral:misc_RNA from 1 species
GUAAUUUAUUACAUUGUUUUGCUGACGCUGAUUGCAAUUACAAAAAAGUUUGAAUUGGGUCCAAUUGGCGGGCGAACCCGCCAAGGAAACAAGUAGUACGCAAAAGACAUGGGUGAAUAUGGCGUCAGACUGGCCCAGAAGAGCGUACCCCGCCGCCGCGUCAGCACAACAGCAAUGCGCUGUCGUGGACACGGCGCGACGUUACGCCCCAAUGAGGGUCUGCUUUCAUAUUUGUGUAAUGAUCCCUCCGCAGGUUCACCUACGGAGA